CACUCCUACGGGAGGCAACAGUGGGGAAUAUUGGACAAUGGGCGCAAGCCUGAUCCAGCCAUGCCGCGUGAGUGAUGAAGGCCCUAGGGUUGUAAAGCUCUUUCACCGGUGAAGAUAAUGACGGUAACCGGAGAAGAAGCCCCGGCUAACUUCGUGCCAGCAGCCGCGGUAAUACGAAGGGGGCUAGCGUUGUUCGGAUUUACUGGGCGUAAAGCGCACGUAGGCGGACUAUUAAGUCAGGGGUGAAAUCCCGGGGCUCAACCCCGGAACUGCCUUUGAUACUGGUAGUCUUGAGUUCGAGAGAGGUGAGUGGAAUUCCGAGUGUAGAGGUGAAAUUCGUAGAUAUUCGGAGGAACACCAGUGGCGAAGGCGGCUCACUGGCUCGAUACUGACGCUGAGGUGCGAAAGCGUGGGGAGCAAACAGGAUUAGAAACCCUUGUAGUCC
rnacentral:rRNA from 1 species